ACUCCUACGGGAGGCAGCAGUGGGGAAUCUUGGACAAUGGGGGCGAAACCCUGAUCCAGCCAUGCCGCGUGAGUGAUGAAGGCCUUAGGUCGUAAAGCUCUUUCGCCUGUGAUGAUAAUGACAGUAGCAGGUAAAGAAACCCCGGCUAACUCCGUGCCAGCAGCCGCGGUAAUACGGAGGGGUUAGCGUUGUUCGGAAUUACUGGGGCGUAAAGCGCGCGUAGGCGGAUUAGUCAGUUAGAGGUGAAAUCCCAGGGCUCAACCCUGGAACUGCCUUUAAUACUGCUAGUCUUGAGUUCGAGAGAGGUGAGUGGAAUUCCGAGUGUAGAGGUGAAAUUCGUAGAUAUUCGGAGGAACACCAGUGGCGAAGGCGGCUCACUGGCUCGAUACUGACGCUGAGGUGCGAAAGUGUGGGGAGCAAACAGGAUUAGAUACCCUGGUAGCGACUGA
rnacentral:rRNA from 1 species